ACUGUAUGCUAACACAUAUAUAUGGAAUCUAAGAAAAAAAAAAAAAAGGUUUUGAAGAACUUAGGUGCAGGACAAGAAUAAAGACCCAGACUUAGAAAUUGGACUUGAGGAUAUGGGGAGGGGGAAUGAUAAGCUGGGACAAAGAGAGUGGCAUCGACAUAU